ACGUAGAGUUUGAUCCUGGCUCAGGAUGAACGCUAGCGGCAGGCCUAAUACAUGCAAGUCGUACGAAGCCUUCGGGCUUAGUGGCGAACGGGUGCGUAACGCGUAAACAACCUGCCCUUCGGAGGGGGACAACAUCUGGAAACGGGUGCUAAUACCGCAUAACAUCACGAUGUCACAUGGCAUUGUGAUCAAAGGAGUAAUCCGCCGGAGGAGGGGUUUGCGUUAGAUUAGCUAGUUGGCGGGGUAACGGCCCACCAAGGCAACGAUCUAUAGCUGGUCUGAGAGGAUGAUCAGCCACACUGG
rnacentral:rRNA from 1 species